AGGAACCCUCCUCAAAAAAGCAAAAAGGUAUGUGUGUCUGUACACUGAGGGUAUGAAUGGAUUUUCUGCUGGCUCCUGGCCAUUCAGUUGAAGAUCAAAGAAACACAUGAGAAGCAUGGUGGGUCGAUGUCAAGGGUUACAAAUACAAAUGCCAGUGCCCAUGAAACCAUACUGAAUGAAAGGAGACAGGCAGGCAUGAGAAAAGACAUGCUGUGUCUGCAUAUUAAGAAUAACACAGAGGAACUCUGAAGCCCGGACUGCAACUACACACAGCAGACCAAGAGACCAGAAACAUACUAAGACCAUACUAAAAAGUGACAAUUUGAUAUUUAUGAUGUUCGUGCACAUCAGCCAUGUCGUGUGACUGACCCUUCAUCAGCACAGGGAAAGAGGAAGUCUGGUCUCCAGGGACAUUCUAAUGGGACAUUUCUUGGUUCAUCUUCGACUCACUAAACAACGAUGGGAUAUCAUCUAUUAUUAAGGAAGCUUCAUGCCAUUCAUUCACAGGUCAGUGGAUGGAUUGGCCACCUAUGAAAACAGCGGGAGCUGUACGUCACAGAACAGCAGAAUGAGCCCUGAUUCAUUUGGAGCUCAGGGGUGAAGAUGCGUCACCCGAGGCUGUCUGCCCUAUCAAAUGCCCUCACUAGGUGGGGGAUGUCAUUUUGCUGUGUUUGUAUUCAGGCAAAAGCAUAAGGGAACCCUCUGCCACUUCUCUCCAUUCUCCUGUGAACC